GAAAUGCGAUAAGUAAUGUGAAUUGCAGAAUUCAGUGAAUCAUCGAAUCUUUGAACGCACAUUGCGCCCGCCGGUAUUCCGGCGGGCAUGCCUGUUCGAGCGUCAUUUCACCACUCAAGCCCAGCUUGGUGUUGGGGCGCCCGGCCGCCGCCGCGCGGUCUGGGGCCCCCAAGUUCAUCGGCGGGCUCGUCGGAACUCUGAGCGCAGUAACUCGCGGUAAAACGCGCCUCGCUCGGCUGGUUCAGGCGGGUUCUGGCCGCUAAGCCCCCUUAACAAUCUUAGGUUGACCUCGGAUCAGGUAGGAAUACCCGCUGAACUUAA
rnacentral:misc_RNA from 1 species